rnacentral:lncRNA from 1 species
CUUUUUCUCUGUGCAUCCUCAGUGACGCGGGGCACAGCUCUGCCCGGGGGCCUACCAGAGCCCACCUGGACCCCACACUGGGUCAGCCCUGGUGCGGAGGAGGCCGCUGUAGGCGCGGCCAGGUCACAGUCGGCACCAGAAGUUUGGCAGAUCUCAGUGAGGCGUUAGUUUGCAUUUCCUUGUGACGGGUUUUGACUGGAAUGCCAGGCUUAACGUUGCUCAGAAGUUGCUUCUAUGAGGACGUCUCCCAGCAGCUGUCAGUGUUUCCAAUGAGUCAUCGCCAGCCCCUGCAAUGAGCCUCUCAGGCUGGUAAGUUUUGUUUCAGAACCGCUUCCUCAAGCUUCUUUUGCCUUUAAAAGCUUCCUCUUGCCCCAGCCUCCCAGGGAAUGCCUGUGGUCUGUCAUGGCUCACACAUCCUGGUUGAUAAUCCACUGCUGUUCUCCACGGAAUGCCUUCAUUUUGAGAGCUGCUCGCUGCCUGUUGUGGUUUCAGUUGACGGCCCACCGCUGUGUGCAGAGUUCACCAGCCGCUGUGGUGUGCAGUGCAGCAGCUGACCUGCCUGCCUUGUGGUUUUCUAAUCCCAUUGAGGGGACGUCUUAGGUGUUCUCACCAAGAAUGCACAGCAACAGUGCUGGGUGGGCCACAUCCUCCCUCACGUUUGGUGCCACCAGUUUUAUAGAUUUUGGCUACUGUGGGUGUGUGUGGUGGUUUUUGUUGGUGUUUACGACGCAUCUUCCUGGUGCUCGAGUCUGUCGAGCACUUUUUCUUGUGUUUAUUUGCCAUCAUUUGGCGAAGUGUUCAAAUCCUUUGACCGUUGUUUCACCAAGUUGUUUUAUUAUGAAAUUUUAGGGGUUACUUAUUCUGGAUCUCAGCACUUGGAUAAAUAUUUGAGAAUAUUUUUUGCAGUAAGUGACAUCGUUUUAUGUGGAUGAACAGAAGAUUUUAAUUUUGAUAAAGUCUAAUGGAUAUAUGUGAUGUUAGUGUAAUUUGAAUGCAUACAUAUGUAUAUUUAAUGCAUUCUUUUAUGAUGAUUGUGCACUUCAUAUGAAAUGCGGCAACCUUGCCUUGCCAUCCCGGAGGCCUCUGCUUCUCUGAUCUGUGGGUGUCACAGGCACUUCACUUACUCACACCUUAUGGCACGGUUUCUUUUGCUCUAAGCCUGCACGUGUGUUUUAAAGGUAAUUUCUUCCGUUAGAGAAGUCGCGUAGGCUCACCCUGCUAUUUGCCAUUUCUGGAGCUCUUUAUCUCCUUCUUCAUAUCUGCAUUUCCCUCUGGAAUCAUUUCCAUUCAGCCUGAAGAACUCUUCUGCCUGGGACUCCACCUUCUUUUCUAGCAGCUGGGCUCAUUGGGAGCUCUGUCCUCUGGUGGCUCUGGCCAGGGGACGCUGGGUUUUCUCUUAGGGUUUCAGUUGGCCCGUGUGGUGCCAAUGUCAACGUGUCUGUAGGCCAGAGCCAGCAAUGAGCACCCCCUCGGUCUGGCCCUGAGCUCCAAGGCCCCACUCCCACGGGAUCUUGCUGCCAGGACCCCACUCUCUGCAUCUUGUCCAGAGUGUCGAGGAGGGCAGGGUCCAGCGGGAUCUCUCGGCCCUCCCAGGGCUGAGUCUGUGCUCUGACCUUUCCUGGGAGGCACUCAGGGCCAACAGAGCAACAAGGGGCCUUUCCCUGUGGCUCCCUCCCCUCUGGAGAAAAUGGGUCAGACCUGGGUUUCUCCAUAGUCACUGUCCCUAAAAUGAAGCCGGGCUGCCAGAGGCGGUUGCAUCUCCCGGCACCAAGACCCCAGAGUCCCUGUGAGAAAGAGGACCAACGACGAUGGAAGCCUUUCUCUAAUGUGCGCACAGCCAGGCCGCUCCUCUGAAGGCGCUGAGCCGCCUCUAAUCACAGCGCCACACUGGCCACAGGUCGCUGGGUAUAGGAUGAACCCAGCUGUGAAUAGGAUGCAUUUCCUGGGAGGUUUCUGUGAAGUUACUGAACUGCCAAAAGAGAAUGCUUUAAAUAAUUCAGCACAAUCUUUGCAUAAAUCACACCAUUCAGCUGAGGUGCCUGUCAGCAGUCAAGUGAUUGAGAGCACAAACUGUCCCAAAGACACAGCCCCCUUCCCCCUGGAGACGCGCACAGCCUGCAGAAGAGAUGUCACCUGAUGCAGCGUUGUGGUUUAAAAACUCAUUAUGGGAAGCAUGAGGCUGGACCCAGGGGACCCUGGAGGUGAUGCAGGGGCUUUGGCAGCCUGGAAGCUGUUGGAGGAGGGGCCCUUGGUGGAAGUGGGGACAGUUUGAGCCUCCGGCCUCCAAUUCCCUCCCGCUGGCUUCUGGGCCGCACCUCCAGGAAUCCAGCUAGACCCGCAGGGCUCUGACUCCAGACUUUAUUAAAUGUUUCCUCUAACGGUUCUGGCCAUUCUGCUGGGCCAUUAAAGGCUACCCCAGGGCCUCAGAUAUGAGCGUGGUGUCUGUAUGUGGUCCUUUCAUGGAGGGCAGGAAGCAUCAUAAUUACUUUUUUUUUUAACGGUUUUCAAUUUGUGUUGACAAAGAGCCUUAGUGAAUCUGUUGGAAGAAGAGUGACUUCAAAAUGAACCUGACUCCCUGUAUGUUAGGAGUCCAUAUUCUCUGAUACAGUUAACGUUUUCCUUCCAACCUCUUCACUGUUCAAGCAAAGUGGUAUUUUAGCUAUUCACUGUUUGACACUUUAAUAGGAGUUUUGAUGAGCAAUUUCAGGAUGUGGAAUUGCUACACUGCACCAGGUUCCUGCAGGAGCAGCAGCCUCAGCCUGUGGAUGGGACGUGAGAUCUUGGUGUUUCUCCUGGAGGAAACGCUGUGCUGCUGUGUUGAUGACGGGGCGUGUGUGGGGUUGAUGAUGGGUGAUGGAGUGUGGGGUUGGUGACAGGUGACGGAGUGUGGGGUUGAUGACGGGGCGUGGGGUUGAUGAUGGAGU